CAGCUUUGGAUGCAUUUGUAGAAUUUGUUGCUACAUUUGGAAAUGUCUCAGGUAAAAUUCGCAGCUGGUAUUGGUUCUCAGAGUUUGGACUUAUGGUCUACAGCAUGUCAAGAAACAGAUACUGUGAGCGAAUUGGCAGACAGCACAAAAGCAAUCAUGAGUGGCAAUCCAUUCCUUGAUGCAAAUGCUGUUCCGAUCAACCAACCUUGAUGUAAGGCUAGUUUUUGCUUUGAAGGAAAGUAUGGUGUAUGUAGAACUGAUGUACUUGGUUGCUAAUAUGUUUAUGGG